CAAGACUUAGCUCAUCAUGCUGGAUAUUAUCAUCUUCUGCAUACUAAAGCUGCAAGGAUGUUUUAUUUUUUCUUUGAAUCAAGGAGUAACAAGAAUGAUCCAGUAGUGAUGUGGCUAACAGGAGGGCCAGGUUGUAGCAGUGAAUUGGCUUUGUUUUAUGAAAAUGGACCUUUUCAAAUAUCACAUAAUAUGUCUCUUGUCUGGAAUGAAUUUGGCUGGGACAAGGUCUCAAAUCUUAUAUAUAUUGAUCAACCAACGGGGACUGGUUUCAGUUAUACUUCUGAUAAUCGCGAUAUUCGUCACAAUGAAACAGAUAUAAGCAAUGACCUUUAUGACUUCAUACAGGCCUUCUUUAAUGCGCAUCCAGAGUAUGUAAAUAGUGAUUUCUACAUUACUGGAGAAUCGUAUGCAGGGCACUAUAUCCCUGCAUUUGCUUCUCGUGUUCACCAAGG
rnacentral:misc_RNA from 1 species